rnacentral:rRNA from 1 species
CAAUAGCGUAUAUUAACGUUGUUGCAGUUAAAAAGCUCGUAGUUGGGUUUCUGGAGGGAGCGUCGGCCCGUAUUUACGAGUGCGUGACGUCUCUGUCCAUCCUUGCGGGAAGGCACGGCAUUGAUUUGUUGUGUCGGAUCGCAUCAUUUACUGUGAAAAAAUUUGAGUGUUCAAAGCAGGCUUUCGCUUGAAUACAUUAGCAUGGAAUAAUAAGAUAGGACUUUGGUGCUAUUUUGUUGGUUGAGCCUAAAGUAAUGAUUAAUAGGGAUAGUUGGGGGCACCUGUAUUGCGUUGUCAGAGGUGAAAUUCUUGGAUUUACGCAAGACAAACAGCUGCGAAAGCGUCUGCCAAGGAUGUUUUCAUUAA